CCCUUAGAUGUCCUGGGCUGCACGCGCGCUACACUGAACAGUUCAACAAGUCUUAACCUUGGCCGAUAGGUCUGGGUAAUCUUUGAACGCUGUUCGUGAUUGGGAUAGACCUUUGCAAUUAUGGGUCUUCAACGAGGAAUUCCUAGUAAACGCAAGUCAUCAGCUUGCAUUGAUUACGUCCCUGCCCUUUGUACACACCGCCCGUCGCACCUACCGAUUGAAUGGUCCGGUGAAAUCUCGGGACGGCGGCUUGGUCGCUUGCGUCCGACUGCUGAAACUUGAUUAAACCAUNUNAUUUAGNGGAAGGUGAANUCGUANCA
rnacentral:rRNA from 1 species